CUUGUAGGUUAUAAAAUUGGGAGUCGGACCUGCCCGGUGAAUUUUUUUAACGGCCGCGGUACUCUGACCGUGCAAAGGUAGCAUAAUCAUUUGCCUUAUAAUUGAAGGCUAGUAUGAAUGGUUUGACAAGAAUAUGGCUGUCUCUUUAUAAUUUGAUAGAAUUUUAUUUUCAGGUGAAAAAGCCUUGAUUAAAUUAAUAGACAAGAAGACCCUAUCGAGCUUGAAGGAAUUUGAUGGGUAAAAAAAUAAGCCUUAUUGGUGGAGAAAAGGGGUGAACUGUUGAAUAUUUUGGUUGGGGCGACUGAGGAACAGGAAAAGCUUCCUUUGUGGUGUAAUACAUACAGGUGUUGAUCCAAAAGUGUUGAUUAAAGGAAUUAGUUACCGUAGGGAUAACAGCAUUAUCCUUUUUGAGAGUUCAUAUCGAAAAAGGGGUUUGUGACCUCGAUGUUGGACCAGAAUGUCCUGAAGAUGCAGAAGUCUUCAAGGGUUGGUCUGUUCGACCAUUAAAAUUCUA
rnacentral:rRNA from 1 species